rnacentral:rRNA from 1 species
GACGAACCGGGCAAACGUUAUUCGGAAUCACUGGGCUUAAAGGGUGCGUAGGCGGCUCUGAAAGUUGGGUGUGAAAUCCCUCGGCUCAACCGAGGAAUUGCGCCCAAAACUGCAGAGCUUGAGGAAGGCAGAGGUGAGCGGAACUGAUGGUGGAGCGGUGAAAUGCGUUGAUAUCAUCAGGAACACCAGUGGCGAAGGCGGCUCACUGGGCCUUUUCUGACGCUGAGGCACGAAAGCCAGGGGAGCAAACGGG